CAUCACAAGCAUCAGUUGGCAGAGCAUUGGGCUAGUAUUCCAAAGGUCGUGGGUUCAAUUCCCACCAUGG
rnacentral:tRNA from 1 species